rnacentral:rRNA from 1 species
CCUACGGGAGGCAGCAGUGGGGAAUCUUGCGCAAUGGGCGAAAGCCUGACGCAGCCAUGCCGCGUGAAUGAUGAAGGUCUUAGGAUUGUAAAAUUCUUUCACCGGGGACGAUAAUGACGGUACCCGGAGAAGAAGCCCCGGCUAACUUCGUGCCAGCAGCCGCGGUAAUACGAAGGGGGCUAGCGUUGCUCGGAAUUACUGGGCGUAAAGGGAGCGUAGGCGGAUAGUUUAGUCAGAGGUGAAAGCCCAGGGCUCAACCUUGGAAUUGCCUUUGAUACUGGCUAUCUUGAGUACGGAAGAGGUAUGUGGAACUCCGAGUGUAGAGGUGAAAUUCGUAGAUAUUCGGAAGAACACCAGUGGCGAAGGCGACAUACUGGUCCGUUACUGACGCUGAGGCUCGAAAGCGUGGGGAGCAAACAGGAUUAGAUACCCUGGUAGUCCACGCUGUAAACGAUGAGUGCUAGUUGUCGGCAUGNAUGNAUGUCGGUGACGCNGCUAACGACAUAAGUACACUCCGCCGUCGGGAGGUACGGUCGCGAGAAGUAAACUAACUAAAUUAGAAGUUAGUUAGGCGUGAGAGNGCCGACGGACGACGACGAGGGAGGAGGAG